AUUGAACGCUGGCGGCAUGCCUUACACAUGCAAGUCGAACGGUAGCACGGGUGCUUGCACCUGGUGGCGAGUGGCGAACGGGUGAGUAAUACAUCGGAACAUGUCCUGUAGUGGGGGAUAGCCCGGCGAAAGCCGGAUUAAUACCGCAUACGAUCCACGGAUGAAAGCGGGGGACCUUCGGGCCUCGCGCUAUAGGGUUGGCCGAUGGCUGAUUAGCUAGUUGGUGGGGUAAAGGCCUACCAAGGCGACGAUCAGUAGCUGGUCUGAGAGGACGACCAGCCACACUGGGACUGAGACACGGCCCAGACUCCUACGGGAGGCAGCAGUGGGGAAUUUUGGACAAUGGGCGAAAGCCUGAUCCAGCAAUGCCGCGUGUGUGAAGAAGGCCUUCGGGUUGUAAAGCACUUUUGUCCGGAAAGAAAUCCUUGACUCUAAUACAGUCGGGGGAUGACGGUACCGGAAGAAUAAGCACCGGCUAACUACGUG
rnacentral:rRNA from 1 species